rnacentral:rRNA from 1 species
CGUUUGCCCAAGGAUGGGUCUGCGGCCUAUCAGGUAGUAGUGGGUGUAAUGUACCUACUAGCCUACGACGGGUACGGGUUGUGAGAGCAAGAGCCCGGAGAUGGAUUCUGAGACAUGAAUCCAGGCCCUACGGGGCGCAGCAGGCGCGAAAACUUUACAAUGCGGGAAACCGUGAUAAGGGGACACCGAGUGCCAGCAUCCUAUGCUGGCUGUCCGGGUGUGUAAAAUACACCUGUUAGCAAGGGCCGGGCAAGACCGGUGCCAGCCGCCGCGGUAACACCGGCGGCCCGAGUGGUGAUCGUGAUUAUUGGGUCUAAAGGGUCCGUAGCCGGUUUGGUCAGUCCUCCGGGAAAUCUGACAGCUCAACUGUUAGGCUUUCGGAGGAUACUGCCAGACUUGGAACCGGGAGAGGUAAGAGGUACUACAGGGGUAGGAGUGAAAUCUUGUAAUCCCUGUGGGACCACCUGUGGCGAAGGCGUCUUACCAGAACGGGUUCGACGGUGAGGGACGAAAGCUGGGGGCACGAACCGGAUUAGAUACCCGGGUAGUCCCAGCCGUAAACGAUGCUCGCUAGGUGUCAGGCAUGGCGCGACCGUGUCUGGUGCCGCAGGGAAGCCGUGAAGCGAGCCACCUGGGAAGUACGGCCGCAAGGCUGAAACUUAAAGGAAUUG